ACUGUUAGAGACGCCCCCCUCCCCAGGUGGGUGAGGGAGAACAAAGGUAGGACUCAAGUAUGUUGACCCAGGUGCUGGGAGGGGGACGGUUUACUGGUAAAACAACACAAAGUAACAAAAGAACCUAACAAAGGCCUAGUCCACGUAUACAGUCCGGGGUGGAGUGAAGAUGGUUAAGGAGACCAGAAUAAACCGGAACAACUUCUUUUGGCAUAUUACUGAACAAUGCAAGUCAGCGAAGCCACUGAGAUGAAUUCAAGUGCAGCGUGAUCACAGCCAGCUAUUGCUGCUGCACUUUAUCCCUGAUUGGCAAUUGGACUCCUGAUGUUUCAUCACUUCCAGCCAGAGCAGAGACAAGAUGACAACGUCAUGUCUCAUUCGUGAACCUGCUGUUACAUGUGCGCCUCACCAAUUCAGCACAACCAGCCAGUGAGUGAUCUUCUCGCCCUGCAGUUCGGCCCAGCAACCGCCCUGAUUUUGCCAUCCUGCUGGCGACAUCCAUACCAUCUCCUCCUAGUCAUAUGCACAGUUAUUUGUUACGUCAUUGCACUCCUUACCUUGUA